rnacentral:lncRNA from 1 species
GCUUAGUUAGAUUGGAUCUAUAUACAUUUUUAGGAUCGUAUAGCGUUUAUCCAUUGGAUCCAUGGGUGUCGAGGGUAUCAGUAAGGGGUACCCUAACUGAUGCACAAAAUGAGAUUACCCGCGCACAGAUCGAGGCCCUCAACCCGACGUUCUAAUAAGCCAUGCGGUCAUCGAUGGCCGCAGCCUCGAAGACGGAAAAGACGUCGAGCGAACCGCUCGGGGGUCAAACGUCAACUACCGUCGA